UACGUAGGGGGCAAGCGUUGUCUGGAGUUACUGGGCGUAAAGGGGGCGUAGGUGGCCAAUUAAGUCAAGAGUGAAAUUCCACGGCUCAACUGUGGGAGAGCGCUUGAACCUGGAUGGCUUGGGGUCAGGUCAGGAAGGUGGAAUUGUCAGUGUAGGGGUGAAAUCCGUAGAUAUUGGCAAGAACGCCAGUGGUGAAGACGGUCUUCUGGACUGAUACUGACACUGUGGCACGAAAGCCAGGGGAGCGAACGGG
rnacentral:rRNA from 1 species